UGGCUUUGGCUAGCUGCUGUCUUCUUUAGAAGGGACUUCUCAGCGUUUUAGCUGAAUGGAAGUUUGAGGCAAUAACAGGUCUGUGAUGCCCUUAGAUUGUUCUGGGCCGCACGCGCGCUACACUGACAGAGCCAGCGAGUCUACCACCUUUGCCGGAAGGCAUGGGUAAUCUUGUGAAACUCUGUCGUGAUGGGGAUAGAACAUUGCAAUUAUUGUUCUUCAACGAGGAAUACCUAGUAAGCGUGAUUCAUCAGAUCGCGUUGAUUACGUCCCUGCCCUUUGUACACACCGCCCGUCGCUACUACCGAUUGAAUGGCUCCGUGCCCCCGCCCCGCCCGCCGCGCG
rnacentral:rRNA from 1 species